UUGGAGGGCAAGUCUGGUGCCAGCAGCCGCGGUAAUUCCAGCUCCAAUAGCGUAUAUUAAAGUUGUUGCAGUUAAAAAGCUCGUAGUUGAAUUUCGGGAUCCAUCCGUUGGUCGGGCUUCACGGUCCGUACUGGUGUGAUGGGUUCCUACCUUCUGAAUAACCGGCAUGCCAUUAAUUUGGUGCGCCGGGGAAGCAGAACUAUUACCUUGAAAAAAUUAGAGUGCUUAAAGCAGGCAAGUGCCUGAAUAGGUUAGCAUGGAAUAAUAAAAUAGGACGGCAUGGUUCUAUUUUGUUGGUUUCUAGGAUCACCGUAAUGAUUAAUAGGGAUAGUUGGGGGCAUUAGUAUUCAAUUGUCAGAGGUGAAAUUCUUGGAUUUAUUGAAGACUAACUUCUGCGAAAGCAUUUGCCAAGGAUGUUUUCAUUAAUCAAGAACGAAAGUUAGGGGAUCGAAGACGAUCAGAUACCGUCGUAGUCUUAACCAUAAACUAUGCCGACUAGGGAUCGGACGAUGUUAAUUUUUUAAUGACUCGUUCGGCGCCUUACGGGAAAC
rnacentral:rRNA from 1 species